rnacentral:snRNA from 1 species
GGAUGUGAGGGUGAUCUGGCUGCAACAUCUGUCACCCCAUUGAUCGCCAGGGUUGAUCUGGCUGGCUAGGCUGGUGUCCCCUUCCUCCCUCACUCUUCCAUGUGCAUCCCUCCGGAAGCUGUGAGCUUGGUUGAAGAGGACGACCUUCCCCCGUAGAGGAGGCCUGUUCUUCAGUCAAGGGUAUACGAGUAGCUGCACUCUUCUACUAGAACUUCCAAACAAGCUCCCAAGCGAGGUAGUCUGUGGAGAAAUAAUCAAAGAAAUAGGGCCAUUUAGCAUCUACCACUACCCAAGUGGCUUUUAACAAGU